AUGAAUUUCAGUUUUCAGAUUAUUUUACUGGAUAUUUCAAUGGACAGUACUGGCUUUGGUGGAUAUUUCUUGUACUUGGACUCCUCCUUUUCUUUCGAGGCUUUGUUAAUUAUCUCAAAGUCAGAAAUAUGUCUGAAAGCAUGGCAGCUGCUCACAGAACAAGAUUUUUUUUCUUGUACUGAAGACUGCAUCGAACAGACAUUCCUUUCCUAUACCAUUGUGAAACUUCCAGAUGAUCUGUAGCCCUCUGAGUUAAUAGGAUAGAAGACUACUAAAACCAGAAGACAAAUUAGUGAAGAUACGGCUUCAAAAAUGAAUGACAGGAUGGUUUAUGCUCAAAUACCAGUUCUGGUCAUUCUAGUAAAUAUUUAUAAUUGCUGCCUUUUGUUUUAGCACAUUUGUAUAUGUGCUUAGGAAAAAGAUAGUAUUGAAGUAAGAACAAACCAUCUGUUAGUAUAGAUUAGGUACAGUCAGACUUGGUUAAUCUGUGCUUGUUGUAUCUGAAAGAUUUAAGUGGUAAUUUGUUUCACAGCGUGUAUGCACCACUGACUUGUUGAUCUGAACUUUGAGUACAAUGAAAUGCAUUAAAUGAUUCAGAUUAACGAGUUCAGACAGUUUUUUCUAUACUUUUGAUUCAUCUAAUGAUUGUGUAGACAUUUUUAAGUUUAUUAAACCCCAGAGUUCCUUGUUGUCACAAACUUUUAUUCGCCAAUAUUUUAUCAAAUUCAAACCAAUAUACUGGUUUGCUUAAAACUGAUACUCCACUUUGAGUCCCCUGUAAAUAACUCUGC